CCGGAGCGCACAGGCGAAGCGGUGGGGGCGCUUUCCCAGGACCUGGUGUUUCAGGUGCCGCAGCCCCUGCAAGGGGCGCCUGAGGAGUCCCGCUUCGUCUCGCUUCCGACGGCCCUCGCUGAAACGCCUGCUCCCGGGCUUAAGAUUUGGGCUGGAGCAGGCACUGCGGCUGGAAACCCGAGGCUCAGUGGGAGGUCCCGUAUUGUGCAAAGUCCCUGAGCGCCUGCCUGGAGGAAGAGGGCAUCCAGUGGCUCUGCAAACACCUGAAGAACGUGCAGGUGUGCUCUCGUUCUCCCGAGAUCAGUUACAGGAAUCCCGGCCUCUGGCGAGGCUCCCUGGAGAGUCCUUGGAGUCGUACGUUUAUCCCUUCAGUUCUCAUCACGUUUGUUUGGACACAGAACUCAUUCCCCUUAACCUGAGGUGGCCUCCGUUUGUGCCACAGCCGUCAUCCGUCUCAGACAACCCUCGGGGCCUCACACCGUCUCCCUCAGACUGAGACGAGGUACGGAGGGGUUCGUGGGGAAGGAAAUCUCUUCUCAGACCAGGGAAUAAGCAUGACCAGGGUUCCAGCCUGGAAAGAAUUAUAAACCAUCUCCUCUUCCUCUCUCAGAGCCCUCUUCCUAACUCCUUCUGAUCAUCAUAGACAUAAAUGCUGGCCUUCUCUUCCUCGGUGCUCUGCUUGUUAGGGUGUAACUUGAAUAAUACAGAUGAAAAAACUUAAGGAAAAGAGAGGAUACCAGGUCUCUUCCGCUUGACUUAUGCAUUUCCCACACUCAUAGGUGAGGUUCACGCUAUCCGGCCACUCUUAGGCCAGGGCGACUCACAGAUGUGCUACAGAGGGUGGAAGGCCGUGUGCCUUUCAGCAAGGCAAGCCAGCCUGGCAGGCAGAGGGGGUGGCCAACAAGCCACACUUGCUAGUGAGUUCCUGCUGCUGCUUGGAUCGGAGGAGGUGAGGCAAGAGGCUAGUGAAAACUCAUCCUGAUGGUCAGUCUGACAAGCAGUCAAGAUGGAGAACUGCAAAAAUCAGCAGUACUGGUCUUCUGGGAGUCCCAGUGCCCAAUGACAGGCUCCACCAGGGAUGGCCAGCCCCUGUGGGCUGAGCUCCGCAUGCCUGGUCUGCAUUCCCAUCUCUCCUACUUCUUCACACAAGCUGGGGAAGCUGAAUGACCAAAAGGGCACCCAGGCGCCUGACUUGAUCAAAAACAAACAAAACUCUAAGUGAGCAUGUACAAGUGUGUAAAUUGGUGCUACACGGUGGCGUGAUUGGGUAAUCAAAAGGGAUAUCCACCCCAGGCAUAUAUGAGGGGGAAUUUUGGAGUCAGAGAAACUUGGUGUGGUCCCCAGAUGCAGAGUUCAUUAGAGGCAAGCCACUGCUUCAGGACAGAUUUCUGGAGAGCAGUUGUCUGAGGCCAGGCCCUUACCCCUCUUUUCCUGCGUUGUUACCUGAUUCUACCUUUGAUCUGGCAUUUAAUGUUUAUACCACUUCAGGAAUAAGACCAAUAGUUUGCUCUAUAAUCUCAUAACCCCCACUUCCCCACUGGCCUCACACAGGUUAUUUUCUCUUCACAGGUAUUGAAAGAAGGUAGUAGCCUGAUCUUCAAGUAAAUAAGGGGGAGGGAUGAAAACUGUGAGGGAAGGGGAAAAGUGGGUCUUUGCUGUGAAAAGUGGGUCUUUGCUAUGAAAAAUUAAAGAACCUACUUAACAGAAGGGAGCUUUGGGGCCUG
rnacentral:lncRNA from 1 species